rnacentral:lncRNA from 1 species
ACAUGUCAGGUUGGUUAAUUUUAGGUCAAUAUUAUGGGUUUUAAUUGGUUGAGAGAGAGAGAGAGAGGUUCAGAAUUUAUGGAUUUAAAAUAAAUAUAAAAAACCCCCCAUUUUUUCAGUGAGAAAUUCUUUUAUUUAUAUAACAAAUUAUGUAUUAAAAUAGAUGAGAUGGCAGAUGACAUGGGUUGCCAUGUCAUGUGCCACAUGUGUUGGUAUCCAAAAGUUGGUAAACAAGUUGGUGCCCGUAGCGUUAUUGAUAUUAUAUAUGAUCAGUCCCGAUCUCUUGGACCACAGGAGUCCAAGAGAUUUGUGGUCACUCACCGUUGGAUGUAAAUUUAACGGUUCACUCAAUCUUGAACUCCUUUUAAGAAACUUUUUUGAACCAUUAGAUUAAUAUCCAACGGUCAGUGACCACAAUCUCUUGGACUCCUGUGGUCUAAGAGAUCAAGACUGUAUAUAUGAUAUAUGAUAUUAUAAUAUAUUAUAUUAGUUUUAGCAUAUUUAUCCUAAAAUAAAAUAACAUAUUAGGUUCUUUUCGUCCACAAAUUAACCAUAAAAUUUCUUGAUCUCCCUUGUACUCAUCUCUCUUAAAUCUUCUAAGUUAGUUUAUAAUUUUUGCACUAAAAACUCCUAAAGUUUUAACAUUUCUUUCUCUUUCACUUCCUCUUUUAUUUUUCUCAUUUUUUUUAUGUAUGAGUUGGGUACCUAAAUAUUGCGGUUUAUGAACUCUUUUUUUUUUGUUUUUCUAUUUCUUUUCUAUGUUGGAAUCUAAAUUAUUAAUUUUUAAGUCUUUAAUAGUGUAGAUGUUGAAAUUAGUAUUUAACCAAUUUAAAAUAUAAAAUUCAUGAUAAUUAUGAAGAGAGACAUGUUAUUUUAUGAAGCACCCCCUCAAAUGUGAAAUCCUAACUUCACCACUGCUUAUAAACUCAUAAUAUUCAUAUUAUGUUACAUCGAAACUCUAGAUAUGAAUUUAGCUACUCAUAAUGUUAAAGUAACAUAAGGCAACGACGAUGAACCCAUUAAGUUAUGAGAACAUUACAAUUGAAGAGAAAUAGCCUCCCCCACACUCUUAAAAUAAUCACUUCCUCUCAACCCAAAGCUCAAUAUAGAUUUCCAAUACACCCAAUCUCACAAGCUUGCAAACUCACAAAUUUAAUACCUCUAAUUGUAUCUCUCAAUACUAACAGAGAUCCAAAAACCUCAAUUAUUCUCUAAUCUCCCAACGAAGGAGAGCCCCAAAACCCUACAUGGUGACAAACCCUAAAUUUUCCCACACAAACAUACAUCACAUAAUACACUGUUUAUAGACUCACACAAAACCCUAAUCUUACAAGAAUAAGUAAACCAAAACCUUGUCCACCAAUCACACCAAAACAUGGCUACAUAUAACUCUAAUAGGAAUAGGAAACGUGCAAACUACCUAGGCCAACUGGUCGUUCAUCCAUAGUCAAUCUAUCGACUUACUUAGAAAGUGAUAGGUUCACGCACAUGUAGCGGUCUAAACUACAGUAAUUCCUUUCAAGACUAUUGAAAGCUUUCUAUGACGGUUGGAAAUUUUUAAAACUUUAUAUCAUUGGCCCUCAACUCCCAUCCAGGGUCGCCGAUGUUGCAUCCAGUAUGUGCUCACCAACAUCACAUCCACGAUCGUUUUGCUGCAACCUUCACAAGAACAACAUCAAAGGUCACAACGCUGCGUCGUAUCAUCACUCUGAUCUAGCAUUGUGCUCACCAGUAGAGGUGUCAAACAGGUCGUGCCAGCCCGGCCUAUCCUGUGUAUAGUCGAACCGUGUCGGGCUUGUCCAUUUAUGAAAAUCAUCAAUCUCGGUCCGAGCCCAAGUCCCUAGCUAAUAUGGGACCGGGCUCGUGUUAGGCCACUAAACGGGUUGGUAUAGGCCCAUACCAAAUUUAACUUAUGUAUUGCAAUUUUUUUUUUUUUUUGUAAUUUUGUUUACAAUUAUGUAUAUAUUAACAAGAUUUAUUAUUUGUUGGAAAAAUAGGCUAAUAUAUUUAUUUGAACUACAUUUAAAUAGAAAAUGGCUAGAUAUGUUCAGGUUUUAGAAAUUGAAACUUGAAAAUCAAAACCAUUAUUUUGUUUAUAAAGAUAACAUUAAAUUUUAAUAUAUAUUCUUACAGCCCCGAUCUCUUGGACCACAGGGUCGAAGAGACUGUGGUCACCCCACUGUUGGAUGUAACAUCCAACGGUUCAAAAAAGUUUCUUAAAAGGAGUGCAAGGGUGAGUGAACCAUUGAAUUUACAUCCAACGGUGAGUGACCACAAAUCUCUUGGACCCCUGUAGUCCAAGAGAUCGGGACUGUAUAUUCUUAAAGAAAAAAAAAAUAUACUCGAAUUUAAGAUAUAAAAAAUAUAAUAAUAUUAUGUAUUAUUUUUCUCUAAAGUAAAUAUAAUUUAAUAAAUAGGCUUUAAACGAUGAGCCGGCAUGGCCAUUAGGUCGGAUUACCUUGUUUCGGCUAAUCCAAAUAUACAGAUCGUGCGGUGUCGAGCCUUACUUAAUUAGGUCAUGCUCAGGCAGUCCCUAUCAGUUUGACACCUCUACUGACCUGCAGAAUUGAAGAGUCGGCUUCCAACAGAGGCCAAGCUAGCUCUCGACCAUGUCCACCGCUGACGACAAGUGAAUGAGUUACGAUCGGCGAAGAUCUUUCUAAUUUUGUUUUACAGAGAGACACAUGUCAGGUUGGUUAAUUUUAGGUCAAUAUUAUGGGUUUUAAUUGGUUAAGAGAGAGAGAGAGAGAGAGAGAGAGAGAGAGAGAGAGAGAGAGAGAGAGAGAGAGGUUCAUAAUUUAUGGAUUUUUGUUGGGAGGGAAAUGGCUGGGUUCUGGGUAGGUUUUUUUUUUAUAAGUUUUUUUAAUUUUAUUUUUAAUGUUAUUAUAUAUAUAUAUAUAUAUAUUUUUAAGGAAUUGGUUAAUGGGUGGGUUUGUUGUGCGGAAACACUCCAAGACGAUGGACUACAUGAAGUGCACACACAUAAACCUCUUUGAGAAUAAAACACACACACCACGAAGAAAGUAAAACAAACACACAAGGACACAAAAACUUAUAGAGGUUCGGCCUCCUGCCUAUGUUCUCUUGGUGAUCCACUUGAAGAAAUUCACUAGUAUGUAAGAACAACUUUAGUUACAAC